rnacentral:rRNA from 1 species
UACGUAGGGUGCAAGCGUUAAUCGGAAUUACUGGGCGUAAAGCGGGCGCAGGCGGUUUUGCAAGACAGAUGUGAAAUCCCCGGGCUCAACCUGGGAACUGCAUUUGUGACUGCAAGGCUAGAGUACGGCAGAGGGGGAUGGAAUUCCGCGUGUAGCAGUGAAAUGCGUAGAUAUGCGGAGGAACACCAAUGGCGAAGGCAAUCCCCUGGGCCUGUACUGACGCUCAUGCACGAAAGCGUGGGGAGCAAACAGG